rnacentral:rRNA from 4 species
UAAGCGACUAAGCGUACACGGUGGAUGCCUAGGCAGUCAGAGGCGAUGAAGGGCGUGCUAAUCUGCGAAAAGCGUCGGUAAGCUGAUAUGAAGCGUUAUAACCGACGAUACCCGAAUGGGGAAACCCAGUGCAAUACGUUGCACUAUCGUUAGAUGAAUACAUAGUCUAACGAGGCGAACCGGGGGAACUGAAACAUCUAAGUACCCCGAGGAAAAGAAAUCAACCGAGAUUCCCCCAGUAGCGGCGAGCGAACGGGGAGGAGCCCAGAGUCUGAAUCAGUUUGUGUGUUAGUGGAAGCGUCUGGAAAGUCGCACGGUACAGGGUGAUAGUCCCGUACACCAAAAUGCACAGGCUGUGAACUCGAUGAGUAGGGCGGGACACGUGACAUCCUGUCUGAAUAUGGGGGGACCAUCCUCCAAGGCUAAAUACUCCUGACUGACCGAUAGUGAACCAGUACCGUGAGGGAAAGGCGAAAAGAACCCCGGCGAGGGGAGUGAAAUAGAACCUGAAACCGUGUACGUACAAGCAGUGGGAGCACCUUCGUGGUGUGACUGCGUACCUUUUGUAUAAUGGGUCAGCGACUUAUAUUUUGUAGCAAGGUUAACCGAAUAGGGGAGCCGUAGGGAAACCGAGUCUUAACUGGGCGUCUAGUUGCAAGGUAUAGACCCGAAACCCGGUGAUCUAGCCAUGGGCAGGUUGAAGGUUGGGUAACACUAACUGGAGGACCGAACCGACUAAUGUUGAAAAAUUAGCGGAUGACUUGUGGCUGGGGGUGAAAGGCCAAUCAAACCGGGAGAUAGCUGGUUCUCCCCGAAAGCUAUUUAGGUAGCGCCUCGUGAACUCAUCUUCGGGGGUAGAGCACUGUUUCGGCUAGGGGGCCAUCCCGGCUUACCAAACCGAUGCAAACUCCGAAUACCGAAGAAUGUUAUCACGGGAGACACACGGCGGGUGCUAACGUCCGUCGUGAAGAGGGAAACAACCCAGACCGCCAGCUAAGGUCCCAAAGUCAUGGUUAAGUGGGAAACGAUGUGGGAAGGCACAGACAGCCAGGAUGUUGGCUUAGAAGCAGCCAUCAUUUAAAGAAAGCGUAAUAGCUCACUGGUCGAGUCGGCCUGCGCGGAAGAUGUAACGGGGCUAAACCAUGCACCGAAGCUGCGGCAGCGACGUUUAGGCGUUGUUGGGUAGGGGAGCGUUCUGUAAGCCGUUGAAGGUGACCUGUGAGGGUUGCUGGAGGUAUCAGAAGUGCGAAUGCUGACAUAAGUAACGAUAAUGCGGGUGAAAAACCCGCACGCCGGAAGACCAAGGGUUCCUGUCCAACGUUAAUCGGGGCAGGGUGAGUCGACCCCUAAGGCGAGGCUGAAAAGCGUAGUCGAUGGGAAACAGGUUAAUAUUCCUGUACUUGGUGUUACUGCGAAGGGGGGACGGAGAAGGCUAGGCUGGCCGGGCGACGGUUGUCCCGGUUUAAGCGUGUAGGGGGAGUGACCAGGUAAAUCCGGUUGCUUAUCAACCCUGAGGCGUGAUGACGAUGCACCACGGUGCAGAAGCAGUUGAUGCCAUGCUUCCAGGAAAAGCCUCUAAGCAUCAGGUAACAUUAAAUCGUACCCCAAACCGACACAGGUGGUCAGGUAGAGAAUACUCAGGCGCUUGAGAGAACUCGGGUGAAGGAACUAGGCAAAAUGGUGCCGUAACUUCGGGAGAAGGCACGCUGGCGUUAGGUGAAAGGACUAGCUCCUGGAGCUGAAGCCAGUCGCAGAUACCAGCUGGCUGCAACUGUUUAAUAAAAACACAGCACUGUGCAAACACGAAAGUGGACGUAUACGGUGUGACGCCUGCCCGGUGCUGGAAGGUUAAUUGAUGGGGUCAGCCGCAAGGCGAAGCUCUUGAUCGAAGCCCCAGUAAACGGCGGCCGUAACUAUAACGGUCCUAAGGUAGCGAAAUUCCUUGUCGGGUAAGUUCCGACCUGCACGAAUGGCGUAAUGAUGGCCAGGCUGUCUCCACCCGAGACUCAGUGAAAUUGAACUCGCUGUGAAGAUGCAGUGUACCCGCGGCAAGACGGAAAGACCCCGUGAACCUUUACUAUAGCUUGACACUGAACAUUGAGCCUUGAUGUGUAGGAUAGGUGGGAGGCCUUGAAGUGUGGACGCCAGUCUGCAUGGAGCCAACCUUGAAAUACCACCCUUUAAUGUUUGAUGUUCUAACUCGGCCCCAUGAUCUGGGGUGAGGACAGUGUCUGGUGGGUAGUUUGACUGGGGCGGUCUCCUCCCAAAGAGUAACGGAGGAGCACGAAGGUUAGCUAAUCACGGUCGGACAUCGUGAGGUUAGUGCAAAGGCAUAAGCUAGCUUGACUGCGAGAGUGACGGCUCGAGCAGGUACGAAAGUAGGUCUUAGUGAUCCGGUGGUUCUGAAUGGAAGGGCCAUCGCUCAACGGAUAAAAGGUACUCCGGGGAUAACAGGCUGAUACCGCCCAAGAGUUCAUAUCGACGGCGGUGUUUGGCACCUCGAUGUCGGCUCAUCACAUCCUGGGGCUGAAGUAGGUCCCAAGGGUAUGGCUGUUCGCCAUUUAAAGUGGUACGCGAGCUGGGUUUAGAACGUCGUGAGACAGUUCGGUCCCUAUCUGCCGUGGGCGUUGGAAGAUUGAGAGGGGCUGCUCCUAGUACGAGAGGACCGGAGUGGACGAAUCACUGGUGUUCGGGUUGUCAUGCCAAUGGCAUUGCCCGGUAGCUAAAUUCGGAAGAGAUAACCGCUGAAAGCAUCUAAGCGGGAAACUUGCCUCGAGAUGAGUCUUCCCUGGGGCUUAAAGCCCCCUGAAGGAACGUUAAAGACUAUGACGUUGAUAGGCUGGGUGUGUAAGUGCAGCGAUGUAUUGAGCUAACCAGUACUAAUGAUCCGUGAGGCUUAACCU